rnacentral:lncRNA from 10 species
CUUAAAACAAACAGAAAAUUUACAAAAUGUCAGUAAAUAAAUAGAAAUGAAGUAAUACAUGCUACUAUAUAUGGAUAAAUGUAAAAAUAUUAUGCUAAGUGAAAUAAGCCACACACACACAUAAAAACAAAACCUCACAUAUUAUAUGAUACAAUUUAUAAGACAGGUCCAGAAUAGGCAAAUCUACAGAGACAGAAAGUAGGUUAGUAGUUUCUGAGGCUAAAGGUGGCAUGGAAUGAGGACUGUCUGUCAGUGGGUACAGUUUUCUUUUUGGGGUAUUGAAAAUGUUCAAAUAUUAAACUGUGGUGAUGCUUCUACAACUCUGCAUACAUAUCAAAAACUACUGAAAUGUAUACUGUAUACGAAUUAACUUUAUGGUAUGUAAACUAUAUUUCAGUAUAAUUUAAGUUAAUAGUCAUAUUUUAUUUAAAAAAGGAAUGUCAUCAAACUAAAAAGUCCAGUAACUGAAAUAAUACCUUGCUGCCUGGGUUCAACAGUAGAAUGGAAAAAACAGAGGAAAGAAUCAGCAAAUUUGAAGUCAGCUCAACAGAAUUUACACGAUCUCAAUAACAGAGAUAUAACAGACUGAAAAAAAAUAAACAGGGAUAAUAACAAAAGAUCCAUCAUUGGAGUCUGAGGAAAGAUAUGAGAGAGUAUUUUAAAAGGUAAUGGCUGAACACUUCCCAAAUUUUUCAGCUGCUGAAAGAAAAGAAUUGUCAACCAUGAUUAUGAUAUCCAGUGAGGGAUGAAAGGGAAACAGAGACAUCCGUAGACAAAAAUAUAAACCUCAACCUAAACCUUAUUAUUUUAUAAAUUAACUAAAAAUGAAUCACAGAAUUAAAUGUAAAACUCUAAAAUUUUUAUGAAAAAAAACAAAAAAUCUUC